AGUGAACGCUGGCGGUAGGCCUAACACAUGCAAGUCGAACGGCAGCACAGUAAGAGCUUGCUCUUACGGGUGGCGAGUGGCGGACGGGUGAGGAAUACAUCGGGAUCUACUUUUUCGUGGGGGAUAACGUAGGGAAACUUACUCUAAUACCGCAUACGACCUACGGGUGAAAGCAGGGGAUCUUCGGACCUUGCGCGAUUGAAUGAGCCGAUGUCGGAUUAGCUAGUUGGCGGGGUAAAGGCCCACCAAGGCGACGAUCCGUAGCUGGUCUGAGAGGAUGAUCAGCCACACUGGAACUGAGACACGGUCCAGACUCCUACGGGAGGCAGCAGUGGGGAAUAUUGGACAAUGGGCGCAAGCCUGAUCCAGCCAUACCGCGUGGGUGAAGAAGGCCUUCGGGUUGUAAAGCCCUUUUGUUGGGAAAGAAAAGCAGCAGGUUAAUACCCCGCUGUUCUGACGGUACCCAAAGAAUAAGCACCGGCUAACUUCGUG
rnacentral:rRNA from 1 species